rnacentral:lncRNA from 1 species
UGAUUCACAACCAGAGAUGAAUCUCCAUAAAUAUUCAAAUACUUGAUUCUGAGAUUAAUGGCCUCUUCAAGCCCCAUAAUGCAAGCUUCAUACUCUGCCAUAUUAUUUGUACACUUGAAAGUUAACCUAGCUGUAAAUGGAAAAUGAGUGCCUUGAGGAGUAAUGAUUACUGCCCCAAUUCCAUUAUCAUACUGAUUAACAGCUUCAUCAAAUACCAUGUCCCAACGAGAACCAGGUUCUGG